GAUCCUGGCUCAGGAUGAACGCUAGCUACAGGCUUAACACAUGCAAGUCGAGGGGAAACGACAUCGAAAGCUUGCUUUUGAUGGGCGUCGACCGGCGCACGGGUGAGUAACGCGUAUCCAACCUGCCCAUCACUUGGGAAUAACCUUGCGAAAGUAAGACUAAUGCCCAAUGAUAUCCCACGAAGGCAUCCGAAUGGGAUUAAAGAUUUAUCGCUGAAAGAUGGCCUCGCGU
rnacentral:rRNA from 1 species